UCUCCGUUGGUGAACCAGCGGAGGGAUCAUUACCGAGUUUACAACUCCCAAACCCCAAUGUGAACGUUACCAAACUGUUGCCUCGGCGGGAAUUCUGCGCCGGGCGCGUCGCAGCCCCGGACCAAGGCGCCCGCCGGAGGACCAACCCAAAACUCUUAUUGUAUACCCCUCGCGGGUUUUUUCUAUCUGAGCCUUCUCGGCGCCCCUAGCGGGCGUUUCGAAAAUGAAUCCAAACUUUCAACAACGGUUCUCUUCGUUCUGGCAUCGAUGCAGAACGCAGC
rnacentral:misc_RNA from 1 species